GCCCUGCUCUCGGGAUUUGUGAAGUUCUGUGCUCAUGAGGAGCGUGUUACGUGCUCAAGGUGUCCUUUCUGAGCCUGCAAUGGCUCUGCCCUGCUCCAGGCAGAGGGGUGGCAGCCUGGACAACCUGGCCCCUCUUCUCCAGAUCACUUUUUCCUGAUGUUCUGUGAAAAAGGAGGGGCAAGGAAGCCAGAGCCACCUCCCAGUAACUGCAAGAUGCUUUGUUCCUGACAUUCUCAUCUGGGAUUCUUGUCAUUAAGGAGUUUUGAGGUGACAUCAAAAGCUGCAGGGUAUAAAUAGGAUGGAACAAUCCCUGGGUCACUGCCCCUGCAGAAUUUGUCACCUUGUGUGUCUCACUGUCCCCUGGCUCACAGCUCUUGGUCCUGGCAGGGCUGGACCCCUGGCACUGGGACAGUUUGUGGCUUCUGUCCCCCCAAAAUGUGCAGGCACCCAGAGCCCUGCCUUCCUCAGCUCCUACAUGACCACAUCCUCUGGAGAUGUUUUUGGACCUGUUCCUGAGCUGUUGCUCCUCUGAGCUCAUCCCUGAGCUCACCUUUGGCACCUGCAGUGAGAUUUCUGCCCUGCAGGUGUGUUUGGGCUCGCCUCAAAGACUGCUGAGCUGUGCCAGAUGGUGCAGAAAUAACCUCUGGAUUGUUCCUCAUCCUCAGAGCUCCUCUGCUUUUUCCCCCUGGGGACACAUCACCGUGGUCAGUCUUUAUCCAGAAAGCCCAAAGCAGCAAUUGGUGGACAUUGAGCAACACACACUGGAAAAGAGUUUGGGUGAUGGGGUGGGAAUCCUGGGCUUGUUCCCAGAGCUGAGAGGCCAAGAAGAAGCUGUUUGCUGUUGAGCCCCAGGUGAGAUGUGGCCUGGGGGCAGCUCGGGAGGAGCACACAGCCAUUUGAGCAAAACUGAGCAGAUUUCCCAUGUGGCUGCACUGCCAUGCCUGUACUUCCCAGUGACUCGGGUUGGGAGCAAGGCCAGAGUUUUGUGGUGCAUUUUUUGCAGUGUGGGUGCAGCAGCUCCAGGUGUGCUCCAGAUCUGCUGAAAAACAAUUCAGAAAAUGUGUCCAGGCCGAUGUUUGCUGCCCAGGCUGUCAGGAGACCUCCAACAAAGCGGAGCAGGAAAGCCAGGAAGGUGCUGUACCCAGCCCACGUGAGAAAAUAUUUGCCACGGCAAGAGAAAGAUCCAGUCCAGCGGUGGCUGCUCCUCUGCGCUGGCAUCAUCCUCAUCCAGGUGUUAAGUGAGGCUCCUGAGCAGGAGAGACUGGCUGGGGAGAAGCUGCUCUGUGCAGCAGCACCGCCAGGAGCUGAUGGGCUGGCACAGAACCGCUCCAGACAACGCUCAGCUAUUGCAGGAAUCAUCUCAGCAGCUCAGGGAGCUCUCGGGAACUGCUCUGAUGUGCCACGAGCAGCCCAGAGCUUCCCUCUUCCUCUGCUUCACCCCGGGCACGGCUCUGAGCUGCCUGCCAGGAGCUGCCCUGAGCAUCACCAGAGCAGCCCUGGGGCUCCUGUGCCCCUCCGAGGGGACACUGCCACCCUGGAUGGUGACACGGGGCUGGCAGAGGACACGAGAGGCGUCAGUGAAAGCCCAGCAGCAAGAGCUGGGCAGUUUUUCCUGCUGAUUUGUUUGUGACUGUGAUUAGAGACUUGUUUCCGCUAGCUGCAACAAAAAUCUGCAGGAAUUAAUUCCCCUCCUGGGCUGGGUUUGUGCUGUGCUGACCUACCUGGCACUUGUGCUGUAAUUUAGUGUCAGUUCCCAGCAGCUAAAACAGCUCAGCUCUCAAAGUAACCUGAGAGAAAAGCUCCAGAGCGCCGGUCUCCUGCGGUAACACUGUAAGAAUAAACUGCUGAGAUCAGAUUUUCA
ensembl:lncRNA